AUGAAGAACGUAGCGAAAUGCGAUAAGUAAUGUGAAUUGCAGAAUUCAGUGAAUCAUCGAAUCUUUGAACGCACCUUGCGCCCUUUGGCCAUUCCGAAGGGCAUGCCUGUUUGAGUAUCAUGAACACCUCAACUCUUCAUGGUUUUCCGUGAUGAGCUUGGACUUUGGGGGUCUUGCUGGCCUAUGGUCAGCUCCUCUAAAAUAAAUCAGCUUGCCAGUGUUUGGUGGGUAUCACAGGUGUGAUAACUAUCUACGCUUGUGGUUUUCCACCAGGUAACCUUCAGCAGUGGAGGUUCGCUGGAGCUCACAGAUGUGUCUCUCCUCAGUGAGGACAGCUCUUUGAAUGUUUGAUCUCAAAUCAGGUAGGACUACCCGCUGAACUUAAGCAUAUCAAUAAGCGGAGGA
rnacentral:misc_RNA from 1 species